AUAAACAAACGAGAAGAACAAGAAAAAAUUAGGGAACAAUUCUGGAAUGGGUGCACAUUGAUGGUCUCUCUCGUUCACCUUGACGUGUGUGGCUCCACGCGCAAAUGACACUCGCUGGUAACCCGCCAGAUCAGAGAAAACUGAGAGAAUUCAUGUGGUUUAGAAUCUCUAUCGCGUGACAUUGAGGUGACAUGAAUAAAGUGCAGCGUGCUCUACUCUCCUCCUCGAAUCUUAAAACAUUUCUCAAAAGGUCGUACAGAACACAAGGAGUGCAUGUUCGGUUUGCCCCGAGUCCAACAGGUUACCUGCAUCUCGGAGGCCUCCGUACAGCUCUGUGCAAGAUGAUGCGACUAUCCAUUGGCUCGAGUAAACCAAGGAAAUUUUAUUCUACGCUUGGAAGACACGGAUCAAACAGGACUCGUACCAGAUGCUGCCCGUAAACUCAAAGGGGAUCUAUUUUAGGCUGGAAUCAAUCCGGACAAAGACCCGACAAGCUAAAGUCGAGUUUCAUCAUAUUUCCUCACCUCUUUCUCAUUUUUAUUUUCAGAAGAGCAUUGGACAGUCUCUGAAGAAACGGUGGCACCGCCUCUGCAUUGAAAAUACAAGACUAUCCUCGAUGCAAUGACACCAAUAGACUAUACAAUAUCCUGUAGUUCGGUGAUUCACACAUCCGAUUAUUAUGUGUGCCGAGUGAAUAAUUAUGUAGAAAUAAAUAAUAAUGUAUACGUCUCGUAUUUUAGAGAACAAGAAAUUAAUAAUUGAAUGUUAAUUGAAAUGAAACUAUCUUUCAUACUCUUGUAACGCAUUAAUCAUAAGUAUACAAAAAUAAUUUUAUAUUGUUCAUUGCAAAGUCUCAAUAUGUAUUCUUGACGAUCAAUUUAUUAAUAAAAACUCAUUGUAACCGAAACGUCGAUUGUUCAGUUAUCAAUGAUCCAUCCCUGUAUGCAUCAUUAGAUGAUAUCAUAGACAUGAUGAUAUCCAUUGUUAGUGAUAUGUUCUUGUGUAAAUCAUAUCA
rnacentral:misc_RNA from 1 species